rnacentral:rRNA from 1 species
AGCGUACACGGUGGAUGCCCUGGCAGUCAGAGGCGAUGAAGGACGUGCUAAUCUGCGAUAAGCGUCGGUAAGGUGAUAUGAACCGUUAUAACCGGCGAUUUCCGAAUGGGGAAACCCAGUGUGAUUCGUCACACUAUCAUUAACUGAAUCCAUAGGUUAAUGAGGCGAACCGGGGGAACUGAAACAUCUAAGUACCCCGAGGAAAAGAAAUCAACCGAGAUUCCCCCAGUAGCGGCGAGCGAACGGGGAGCAGCCCAGAGCCUGAAUCAGUGUGUGUGUUAGUGGAAGCGUCUGGAAAGGCGCGCGAUACAGGGUGACAGCCCCGUACACAAAAAUGCACAUGCUGUGAGCUCGAUGAGUAGGGCGGGACACGUGGUAUCCUGUCUGAAUAUGGGGGGACCAUCCUCCAAGGCUAAAUACUCCUGACUGACCGAUAGUGAACCAGUACCGUGAGGGAAAGGCGAAAAGAACCCCGGCGAGGGGAGUGAAAAAGAACCUGAAACCGUGUACGUACAAGCAGUGGGAGCACAGAGCAAUCUGUGUGACUGCGUACCUUUUGUAUAAUGGGUCAGCGACUUAUAUUCUGUAGCAAGGUUAACCGAAUAGGGGAGCCGAAGGGAAACCGAGUCUUAACUGGGCGUUAAGUUGCAGGGUAUAGACCCGAAACCCGGUGAUCUAGCCAUGGGCAGGUUGAAGGUUGGGUAACACUAACUGGAGGACCGAACCGACUAAUGUUGAAAAAUUAGCGGAUGACUUGUGGCUGGGGGUGAAAGGCCAAUCAAACCGGGAGAUAGCUGGUUCUCCCCGAAAGCUAUUUAGGUAGCGCCUCGUGAAUUCAUCUCCGGGGGUAGAGCACUGUUUCGGCAAGGGGGUCAUCCCGACUUACCAACCCGAUGCAAACUGCGAAUACCGGAGAAUGUUAUCACGGGAGACACACGGCGGGUGCUAACGUCCGUCGUGAAGAGGGAAACAACCCAGACCGCCAGCUAAGGUCCCAAAGUCAUGGUUAAGUGGGAAACGAUGUGGGAAGGCCCAGACAGCCAGGAUGUUGGCUUAGAAGCAGCCAUCAUUUAAAGAAAGCGUAAUAGCUCACUGGUCGAGUCGGCCUGCGCGGAAGAUGUAACGGGGCUAAACCAUGCACCGAAGCUGCGGCAGCGACGCUUAUGCGUUGUUGGGUAGGGGAGCGUUCUGUAAGCCUGUGAAGGUGUACUGUGAGGUAUGCUGGAGGUAUCAGAAGUGCGAAUGCUGACAUAAGUAACGAUAAAGCGGGUGAAAAGCCCGCUCGCCGGAAGACCAAGGGUUCCUGUCCAACGUUAAUCGGGGCAGGGUGAGUCGACCCCUAAGGCGAGGCCGAAAGGCGUAGUCGAUGGGAAACAGGUUAAUAUUCCUGUACUUGGUGUUACUGCGAAGGGGGGACGGAGAAGGCUAUGUUGGCCGGGCGACGGUUGUCCCGGUUUAAGCGUGUAGGCUGGUUUUCCAGGCAAAUCCGGAAAAUCAAGGCUGAGGCGUGAUGACGAGGCACUACGGUGCUGAAGCAACAAAUGCCCUGCUUCCAGGAAAAGCCUCUAAGCAUCAGGUAACAUCAAAUCGUACCCCAAACCGACACAGGUGGUCAGGUAGAGAAUACCAAGGCGCUUGAGAGAACUCGGGUGAAGGAACUAGGCAAAAUGGUGCCGUAACUUCGGGAGAAGGCACGCUGAUAUGUAGGUGAAGUCCCUCGCGGAUGGAGCUGAAAUCAGUCGAAGAUACCAGCUGGCUGCAACUGUUUAUUAAAAACACAGCACUGUGCAAACACGAAAGUGGACGUAUACGGUGUGACGCCUGCCCGGUGCCGGAAGGUUAAUUGAUGGGGUUAGCGCAAGCGAAGCUCUUGAUCGAAGCCCCGGUAAACGGCGGCCGUAACUAUAACGGUCCUAAGGUAGCGAAAUUCCUUGUCGGGUAAGUUCCGACCUGCACGAAUGGCGUAAUGAUGGCCAGGCUGUCUCCACCCGAGACUCAGUGAAAUUGAACUCGCUGUGAAGAUGCAGUGUACCCGCGGCAAGACGGAAAGACCCCGUGAACCUUUACUAUAGCUUGACACUGAACAUUGAGCCUUGAUGUGUAGGAUAGGUGGGAGGCUUUGAAGUGUGGACGCCAGUCUGCAUGGAGCCGACCUUGAAAUACCACCCUUUAAUGUUUGAUGUUCUAACGUGGACCCGUAAUCCGGGUUGCGGACAGUGUCUGGUGGGUAGUUUGACUGGGGCGGUCUCCUCCUAAAGAGUAACGGAGGAGCACGAAGGUUGGCUAAUCCUGGUCGGACAUCAGGAGGUUAGUGCAAUGGCAUAAGCCAGCUUGACUGCGAGCGUGACGGCGCGAGCAGGUGCGAAAGCAGGUCAUAGUGAUCCGGUGGUUCUGAAUGGAAGGGCCAUCGCUCAACGGAUAAAAGGUACUCCGGGGAUAACAGGCUGAUACCGCCCAAGAGUUCAUAUCGACGGCGGUGUUUGGCACCUCGAUGUCGGCUCAUCACAUCCUGGGGCUGAAGUAGGUCCCAAGGGUAUGGCUGUUCGCCAUUUAAAGUGGUACGCGAGCUGGGUUUAGAACGUCGUGAGACAGUUCGGUCCCUAUCUGCCGUGGGCGCUGGAGAAUUGAGGGGGGCUGCUCCUAGUACGAGAGGACCGGAGUGGACGCAUCACUGGUGUUCGGGUUGUCAUGCCAAUGGCACUGCCCGGUAGCUAAAUGCGGAAGAGAUAAGUGCUGAAAGCAUCUAAGCACGAAACUUGCCCCGAGAUGAGUUCUCCCUGACUCCUUGA